GAGGUGUUAGUAAAAUAUUAUAUGACUUUGUCAAAGUUAAGUUACAGGUGAAAAUCCCUGUAUAUCUCA
rnacentral:tRNA from 1 species